rnacentral:rRNA from 1 species
GAUGAACGCUGGCGGCGCGCCUAACACAUGCAAGUCGAACGAUUAAAGCACCUUCGGGUGUGUAUAAAGUGGCGAACGGCUGAGUAACACGUGGGCAACCUGCCCCUUUCAUUGGGAUAGCCACGGGAAACCGUGGAUAAUACCGAAUACUUCGAGACUUCCGCAUGGAAGACUCGAGAAAGCUCCGGCGGAGGGGGAUGGGCUCGCGGCCUGUUAGCUUGUUGGUGGGGUAACGGCCUACCAAGGCAAUGAUGGGUAGCUGGGUUGAGAGACCGACCAGCCAGAUUGGGUCUGAGACACGGCCCAGACUCCUACGGGAGGCAGCAGUGGGGAAUAUUGCACAAUGGGCGAAAGACUGAUGCAGCGACGCCGCGUGCGGGAUGAAGGCCUUCGGGUUGUAAACCGCUUUCAGCAGGGACGAGGCGAAAGUGACGGUACCUGCAGAAGAAGCCCCGGCUAACUACGUG